rnacentral:rRNA from 1 species
GGACUAAUACAUGGCAAGUCGAGCGCGUUGGCCCAAUUGAUUGAUGGUGCUUGCACCUGAUUGAUUUUGGUCGCCAACGAGUGGCGGACGGGUGAGUAACACGUAGGUAACCUGCCCAGAAGCGGGGGACAACAUUUGGAAACAGAUGCUAAUACCGCAUAACAGCGUUGUUCGCAUGAACAACGCUUAAAAGAUGGCUUCUCGCUAUCACUUCUGGAUGGACCUGCGGUGCAUUAGCUUGUUGGUGGGGUAACGGCCUACCAAGGCGAUGAUGCAUAGCCGAGUUGAGAGACUGAUCGGCCACAAUGGGACUGAGACACGGCCCAUACUCCUACGGGAGGCAGCAGUAGGGAAUCUUCCACAAUGGGCGCAAGCCUGAUGGAGCAACACCGCGUGAGUGAAGAAGGGUUUCGGCUCGUAAAGCUCUGUUGUUAAAGAAGAACACGUAUGAGAGUAACUGUUCAUACGUUGACGGUAUUUAACCAGAAAGUCACGGCUAACUACGUGCCAGCAGCCGCGGUAAUACGUAGGUGGCAAGCGUUAUCCGGAUUUAUUGGGCGUAAAGAGAGUGCAGGCGGUUUUCUAAGUCUGAUGUGAAAGCCUUCGGCUUAACCGGAGAAGUGCAUCGGAAACUGGAUAACUUGAGUGCAGAAGAGGGUAGUGGAACUCCAUGUGUAGCGGUGGAAUGCGUAGAUAUAUGGAAGAACACCAGUGGCGAAGGCGGCUACCUGGUCUGCAACUGACGCUGAGACUCGAAAGCAUGGGUAGCGAACAGGAUUAGAUACCCUGGUAGUCCAUGCCGUAAACGAUGAGUGCUAGGUGUUGGAGGGUUUCCGCCCUUCAGUGCCGGAGCUAACGCAUUAAGCACUCCGCCUGGGGAGUACGACCGCAAGGUUGAAACUCAAAGGAAUUGACGGGGGCCCGCACAAGCGGUGGAGCAUGUGGUUUAAUUCGAAGCUACGCGAAGAACCUUACCAGGUCUUGACAUCUUGCGCCAACCCUAGAGAUAGGGCGUUUCCUUCGGGAACGCAAUGACAGGUGGUGCAUGGUCGUCGUCAGCUCGUGUCGUGAGAUGUUGGGUUAAGUCCCGCAACGAGCGCAACCCUUGUUACUAGUUGCCAGCAUUAAGUUGGGCACUCUAGUGAGACUGCCGGUGACAAACCGGAGGAAGGUGGGGACGACGUCAGAUCAUCAUGCCCCUUAUGACCUGGGCUACACACGUGCUACAAUGGACGGUACAACGAGUCGCGAACUCGCGAGGGCAAGCAAAUCUCUUAAAACCGUUCUCAGUUCGGACUGCAGGCUGCAACUCGCCUGCACGAAGUCGGAAUCGCUAGUAAUCGCGGAUCAGCAUGCCGCGGUGAAUACGUUCCCGGGCCUUGUACACACCGCCCGUCACACCAUGAGAGUUUGUAACACCCAAAGUCGGUGGGGUAACCUUUAGGAGCCAGCCGCUAAAGGGGACUU